CGGACGGGUGAGUAACGCGUGGAAAACCUGCCGUAUACUGGGGGAUAACACUUAGAAAUAGGUGCUAAUACCGCAUAAGCGCACAGCUUCGCAUGAAGCGGUGUGAAAAACUCUGGUGGUAUACGAUGGUUCCGCGUCUGAUUAGCUAGUUGGUGGGGUAAUGGCCUACCAAGGCAACGAUCAGUAGCCGGCCUGAGAGGGUGAACGGCCACAUUGGGACUGAGACACAGCCCAAACUCCUACGGAAGGCAGCAG
rnacentral:rRNA from 1 species